GAUGAACGCUGACAGAAUGCUUAACACAUGCAAGUCGAUGGGGAAGUGGUGCUUGCACCAUGGUAACCAUGGCGGACGGGUGAGUAACGCGUAAGGAACUUGCCUGCGGGACUGGGAUAACAGCAGGAAACUGCUGAUAAUACCGGAUAAGGUCAUUAAGCUGCAUAGCUUAGUGAUGAAAGGAGACGCCUGCGGAGAGCCUUGCGUCCUAUUAGCUAGUUGGAGGGGUAACGGCCCACCAAGGCGAAGAUAGGUAGCCGGCCUGAGAGGGUGGACGGCCACAAGGGGACUGAGAUACGGCCCUUACUCCUACGGGAGGCAGCAGUGGGGAAUAUUGGACAAUGGGGGCAACCCUGAUCCAGCAAUUCUGUGUGCACGAAGACGGUUUUCGGAGUGUAAAGUGCUUUCAGCAGGGAAGAAGGAAGUGACGGUACCUGCAGAAGGAGCGACGGCUAAAUACGUG
rnacentral:rRNA from 1 species